GUCCUACCUACCUACCUUUUCACACUUUUGCGUUUCCACUACUGAAGUCACUGUUACCCUAAUUUCUUAGCUUGAAAAUUCGCCGAUGACUCUUCUGUUUCACAACUUGCAUAUACUGUAUGCAUUACACUGUACCAUGCAAGAAGUUGUCCCCUCCUGUCUGUCCUGUCCUGUCCGGUCCGUCGUACUUGUGCCCUGUGUACUGUAACGAGCCGCCCCCUUGCAGUUCACCGGUAGAUGGACACUCGCAAAUACACGACUUAAUUGGUGUUCACGGGAAGGGGAAUGAUUGCUGACUGCAUACGACACUCCCAAAGGGUUGGAGAUUCGGUUAUUUUGAGCUUCGUUUAUCACCCCAGACGUCUGGAAAGUCAAAACUGUAUUCGACAACUUAUGACCGACUUUCGACCGAAGGAGCCGAUGACAAGCAACGCUACGUACUUGGAAAGACUACCAUAGACAACCUUUUCAGUGGACCCGGAUACCCAACCGAAGUAUGGGUCACGACGGUCUGGUUGCGGAAAGGGACCUUUUUGCGGGCAUGCGGGGCACAAGGCGGGAAUGGAGGUUCCUCGGCUAGAGGGUGCUUGUGGUGAGUAGCCUAGUGCGAAGAUCGAAUCCACGUUC